rnacentral:rRNA from 2 species
UUAAAUUGAAGAGUUUGAUCAUGGCUCAGAUUGAACGCUGGCGGCAGGCCUAACACAUGCAAGUCGAGCGGUAGCACAGGAG